AGAGCGAACGCUGGCGGCGUGCUUAACACAUGCAAGUCGAGUGCGCGCCUGUAGCAAUACAGGUGGCGCACGGCGCACGGGUGCGUAACACGUGGGUAAUCCGCCCUUCGAUGGGGAAUAACUCCGGGAAACCGAAGCUAAUUCCGCAUAACAUUCCUUGGACCUCGGUCUGGGGAUUCAAAGCCGUAAGGCGUCGGAGGAGGAACCCGCGCACGAUUAGUUAGUUGGCAGGGUAACGGCCUACCAAGACUUUGAUCGUU
rnacentral:rRNA from 1 species